CCUACGGGAGGCAGCAGUGGGGAAUAUUGCACAAUGGGGGAAACCCUGAUGCAGCAACGCCGCGUGGGUGAAGGAGCGUUUCGGCGCGUAAAGCCCUGUCAGCGGGGAAGAAGAAAGACGGUACCCGACCAAGAAGCCCCGGCUAACUACGUGCCAGCAGCCGCGGUAAUACGAAGGGGGCGAGCGUUAUCCGGAAUUACGGGGUGUAAAGGGAGCGGAGGCGGGGAGGUAAGACUGAAGUGGAAGCCCGGGGCCCAACCGCGGAACUGCUUUGGGAACUGGUUUGCUGGAGUGUGGGAGGGGUAAGUGGAAUUCCUGGUGUAGCGGUGAAAUGCGUAGAUAUCAGGAGGAACACCGGUGGCGAAGGCGGCUUACUGGACCAUAACUGACGUUGAGGCUCGAAAGCGUGGGGAGCGAACAGGAUUAGAUACCCGAGUAGUC
rnacentral:rRNA from 1 species